rfam:Danio rerio chromosome 4, GRCz11 reference primary assembly.
GACGAGUUGGCAGAGUAGUUAAGGCGAUGGACUGCUAGUCCAUUGUGCUUUGCACACGUGUGUCUGAAUCCCAAACUCGUUG